CAUGUCUAAGGAAUUUGGUCUUCUAGCUAUCACUUUGGCCUCUGAGGACGACCAACCUCUCUCGGCAAGAUGAUACUCGCCAUCUUAUAUAGGUCUAUCACUGACUUUCAAUCUUCAUUCACGACUGAACAUCCGAUCCCUUUUUCGUACCCCUUUGGCUCCUUCAGGCUUGGAUCAAAUUGUAUUUUCCGACCCUCUUUAAUGCAUUUUCUGAAGUCCCCUAGCGAUGGUAUGAGGUGAACUCUCAUCCUCUUGGUCUUGAUAACUUCGGUAUAACUAUCCUCUCCAAGCCACCGAAGCAAUGCUCUUCACAUCUCUCUCUCUUCGCUUUCUUCCUUAAACACUUUCUUUCGACUAAAGAGGAGUCUUUGGAUUUUGAUUCUGCCCUUCAUUCUGGCCUAUACCCUAUUUCCGAUUGGUUUCCAGAUCCUACCUCAAGAAAAUAUCCAGAGGAUGAAGAUUUAUGGAUGCAGACUCUUACUUCUGCGGAUCUACCCCUGUUCUUCUCUGACGAUGGCAAGUUUCGUCCUGGGUUCGAAGUGUAUCAUCUCCAGUAUUGUGCUCGGCAAUUUGGAAUGAGUCAGGGAAUCCUUAUGCCUUGCGUAUAUUCUAUUGACUUUCCUUUUGUACCUCCAAAAUGCCAGUAUCCCCAAGCGGCGUUCCGAUGUCAGGAAGUUGUCAGAGACGAGAUGGUUUCCCGCUCCUGCUAUGUUAGCUUUCGUAUACACGCACGGGCUACCCCUUCUUUCGAAGAUUGGUGGAUUCCAUACCGAGAUGCCCUGUUCUCUGAUGGUACCAAAGCUAUUCUCCUUUGCGUGGCCAAGGCUUCGACUCCUGAAUUUCAGUCUUUGCGGACCCUGCGAUGCUGGUCACCCAUCUUCUCUCGGCAUUUCCUCGCAUUUUGUAGAGUCUUUCUGAUCUAGAUCUAUUCGCAGUGGGAGUAGAGACGCCACUUCUCGGGAUGAUGCAUGCUUAUAGGGGCUUCUCUCUUUCCAUUGACUCGGUUCUUGAGGUGUACCGAGAUAACUACAUUAGACUAGCCUCUACUGAAGCACUCGAAACCGAAUAUCGGUGGAAGGAAAUGGAAAAGGGUCGAUGCCGAAGAGGAACUCCGAAUUAUGUUAGAUCAAUUGAUUGCUAAUCAACAAGAUAACAGAAGGCUCCUUGGUGAAAUUGGUCCUAGUGAUCCACUUUAUACUGACAUUCUUCAACGAGUUAGGCUCAAUGGAGCAUCUGCAGUUCUGACCACUCAACUCAUACAUCAGCGGCAAGAUAUUU